UUUGAACCCCAGAAAAAUCAUCAGAAGCAAGAAGCACACUCAGUCAUCUAUCAUCUCUUCUUGAAAGAACAAACUCUCUGUUGUUAAGAUUUCUCUGCUUCUCCAAAUUCCAAGCAUGGCACUGUCUGUCUGCUUGAAGAUUUGUAUGUUCUUGGCUGUGAUUUUUGCAGUGGCUGCUGCACAGGAAACCGGGUUGUCACCCUCACCUUCUCCCACUCCUGGAAUGGACAAAGGAUCAGCCAUAUCUGUGCAGCUGGCUUCCACUGCUCUUACUGGACUAUCUAUAAUCUUCUCCCUCCUUCCUCUUCUCAACCACUGAACAUUUCACAUAUAUAAUGGAGAGUUGAGAUUCAACUCUGUUUUCCACUUUUUUCUUGUGGUUUCCUAUUUUCUUUGUUUCCCCUUCUUGAUUGGGUACUGUUAGUUGUAUCUCAUGUAAUUCAUUCUUGGAUGGCGGCAAUAGCAUCACGCAUGAUGCAAGUAACAUAUUAAACAUGUACAAUGACGGAUUCCAUCUCAGGCUGACCAGAACCAGGUCAUUGGUUGAGUUGUACCCUUACACCGCCUGGCAAUUUCCCACCAACCCCUCUCACUCAAUACCUAUAAAUACUCAUCAUUUGAACCUGAGGAAAAUCACCAGAAGCAAGAACCCCACUCACUCAUCUAUCAUCUCUUCUUCAAAGAACAAACUCUCUGCAGCUGAGAUUUCUCUGCUUCUCCGAUCCAAAUUCCAAUCAUGGCACACUCUGUCUGCUUGAAGAUUUGUAUGUUCUUGGCUGUGAUUUUUGCAGUAGCUGCUGCACAGGAAACCGGGUUGUCACCCUCACCUUCUCCCACUCCUGGAAUGGACAAAGGAGCAGCCAUCUCUGUUCACCUGGUUUCCACCGCUCUUACUGGAGCUUCUCUAAUCCUCUCCCUCCUUCCUCUUCUCAACCACUGAUUAAAUUUCACAUAAUUUUUUUUGUUCUCAUCUGCUUGUUUUCCCUUCUUGGGUUCUGUUGUAUCUCUUCAUGUAAUUCAUUCUUGGGAAUUAUCAAUAUGAAACAAAGAAUUAUAUUUCAGAAUGGUUC